rnacentral:rRNA from 1 species
UACGUAGGGACCAAGCGUUGUUCGGAUUUACUGGGCGUAAAGGGCGCGUAGGCGGCGUGACAAGUCACUUGUGAAAUCUCCGGGCUUAACUCGGAACGGCCAAGUGAAACUGUCAUGCUAGAGUGCAGAAGGGGCAAUCGGAAUUCUUGGUGUAGCGGUGAAAUGCGUAGAUAUCAAGAGGAACACCUGAGGUGAAGACGGGUUGCUGGGCUGACACUGACGCUGAGGCGCGAAAGCGUGGGGAGCGAACAGG